rnacentral:rRNA from 1 species
AGUAACGCGUGAGGAACCUGCCUCAAAGAGGGGGACAACAGUUGGAAACGACUGCUAAUACCGCAUAAGCCCACAGCUCGGCGUCGAGCAGAGGGAAAAGGAGUGAUCCGCUUUGAGAUGGCCUCGCGUCCGAUUAGCUAGUUGGUGAGGUAAUGGCCCACCAAGGCGACGAUCGGUAGCCGGACUGAGAGGUUGAACGGCCACAUUGGGACUGAGACACGGCCCAG